ACGCGAGCUGGGUUCAGAACGUCGUGAGACAGUUCGGUCCCUAUCCGUCGCAGGCGUAGGAAAUUUGAGAAGACCUGUCCUUAGUACGAGAGGACCGGGAUGGACGUACCUCUGGUGUACCAGUUGUCCUGCCAAGGGCAUGGCUGGGUAGCUAUGUAUGGAAUGGAUAAGCGCUGAAAGCAUCUAAGCGCGAAGCCAACUUCAAGAUAAGAUUUCCCACCGCAAGGGUAAGACCCCAGAAAGACUAUCUGGUUGAUAGGUCGAAGGUGUAAGUGCAGCAAUGUAUUUAGCUUAUCGAUACUAAUAGGUCGAGGACUUGACCAA
rnacentral:rRNA from 1 species